rnacentral:rRNA from 1 species
CCUACGGGAGGCAGUAGUGGGGAAUAUUGCACAAUGGGGGAAACCCUGAUGCAGCGACGCCGCGUGAGUGAAGAAGUAUUUCGGUAUGUAAAGCUCUAUCAGCAGGGAAGAAAUAAAGUCCUUCGGACUUUGGACGGUACCUGACUAAGAAGCCACGGCUAACUACGGGCCAGCAGCCGCGGUAAUACGUAGGGGGCAAGCGUUAUCCGGAUUUACUGGGUGUAAAGGGAGCGGAGACGGCAGCGCAAGUCUGGAGUGAAAUCCCAUGGCUUAACCAUGGAACUGCUUUGGAGACUAUGCAGCUGGAGUGCAGGAGAGGUAAGCGGAAUUCCUAGUGUAGCGGUGAAAUGCGUAGAUAUUAGGAGGAACACCAGUGGCGAAGGCGGCUUACUGGACUGUAACUGACGUUGAGGCUCGAAAGCGUGGGGAGCAAACAGGAUUAGAUACCCGUGUAGUC